GAGAGCAGAGAAAGAAAAUAG
rnacentral:rRNA from 1 species